GACGAACGCUGGCGGCGUGCUUAAUACAUGCAAGUCGAGCGGACAGACGAUGCGCUUGCUCCUCUGACGUUUGCGGCGGACGUGAGUGUCACACGUGUAUCACCCCCCUAUCUGAGUGGGAUCACCUGGGGAAACGGGCGAUUAUCCCGUAUAAUCUCUUGCUGCGUAUUGGUGAAUGGUGAAAUACGGUGUUGCUGUCUCGUAUCGAUGCAUCUGCGCUGCAUUAGCUAGUUGUUAAGGUAACGGCUUACCACGGCAACGAUGCGUAGCCGACCUGAGAGGGGGAUCGGCCACACUGGAACUGAGACACGGUCCAGACGCCUACGGGAGGCAGCAGUAGGGUAUCGUCGGCAAUGGGCGAAAGCCUGACGCAGCGACGGCGAGUGAGUGAUGAAGGUCUUCGGAUCGUAAAACUCGGUUAUUAGGGAAGAACAAAUGUGUAAGUAACUAAGCACGGCUUGACGGUACCUAAUCAGAAAGCCACGGCUAACUACGUG
rnacentral:rRNA from 1 species